rnacentral:rRNA from 1 species
UACGUAGGGGCCGAGCGUUGUCCGGAGUUACUGGGCGUAAAGCGCACGCAGGCGGCGGCGUUGGCCCGGCGUGAAAGCCCCCGGCUCAACCGGGGAAGGUCGUCGGGGACCGCGUCGCUUGAGGCCAGCAGGGGGUGGUGGAAUGCCCGGUGUAGUGGUGAAAUGCGUAGAGAUCGGGCGGAACACCCGUGGCGAAGGCGGCCACCUGGGCUGGACCUGACGCUGAGGUGCGAAGGCGUGGGGAGCGAACGGGAUUAGAUACCCGCGUAGUCC